UGGGGAAUUUUGGACAAUGGGCGAAAGCCUGAUCCAGCAAUGCCGCGUGUGUGAAGAAGGCCUUCGGGUUGUAAAGCACUUUUGUCCGGAAAGAAAUGGCUCUGGUUAAUUCCUGGGGUCGAUGACGGUACCGGAAGAAUAAGGACCGGCUAACUACGUGCCAGCAGCCGCGGUAAUACGUAGGGUCCAAGCGUUAAUCGGAAUUACUGGGCGUAAAGCGUGCGCAGGCGGUUGUGCAAGACCGAUGUGAAAUCCCCGAGCUUAACUUGGGAAUUGCAUUGGUGACUGCACGGCUAGAGUGUGUCAGAGGGGGGUAGAAUUCCACGUGUAGCAGUGAAAUGCGUAGAGAUGUGGAGGAAUACCGAUGGCGAAGGCAGCCCCCUGGGAUAACACUGACGCUCAUGCACGAAAGCGUGGGGAGCAAGCAGGAUUAGAUACCCUGGUAGUCCACGCCCUAAACGAUGUCAACUAGUUGUUGGGGAUUCAUUUCCUUAGUAACGUAGCUAACGCGUGAAGUUGACCGCCUGGGGAGUACGGUCGCAAGAUUAA
rnacentral:rRNA from 1 species